AAUCAUUUAUCAUACUCUGAGCAUUAACUACUUAUUUUACAGUAAAUUAAGUAAAGCAUAUGAUACUUAUGAGUUAUUAGCGAUUAAUUAUAAAUUUUUGUGAUUACUCUAGCUUGUUACACUAAAAGUUAUAGAACGCACGUUAAACGACAGUGGAUAAAAUAUUUUGAUUAUUACAAAGUGCAGAUGGACAGGAUAGUUCUGUGAGAAAUUAGGAGACUGAAUAGUCCUAUUCACAGUCCCCGCCGCCAUCUUGGGUACAAACAUGAAAACGAGGCGAGAGUUGACUCAUAAUCAAAAUAAAAGAAGAUGUUUAUCUGACCUCUGAUUAUCUACGCAGAAAACGGCUCCCAAAACAACCGUCAAGUCGAUAAAUCGUGGUUUAUUUGAAACCACACUUCUCGCUAAAUAUAUUAAGAUAAGGAUACUCAGGCUCCAAAACAAGCAAUUCAAAACAAGACAAAAUAAGUGAAAAAAAAAACAUUUUUACCCCUUUUUCUUGUGUGGCCUGGCUAUAGAGUAAAUAAAUAAUGAAUAACACCUUAUUUUUUUUUACAGCUGGUAUCACCUUUGCUACAGACCAAAUGCAAGUGGGCUUUUUUGUGGGUACCAGGGGGUGAAGCUUGCGAGGCACAUCAAAAGGCAACAUUCCAAGGAAUCUGAAGUGGCCUGCCAGCUUGCAGGAACGAGUAAAAAGAACAAAGUAAAAGAACACGAAAGGCUCCGGCUCCUCGGUGAUUAUCACCACAAUUGCAAUGUCCUGAGCUUAGGCGAAGAACAACUGAUUGUGGUAUGCCUACCUCCCUUGUAAGUCGUGCCUUGGGUUUCACAAGAGGGACGACCUUUGGAGGCACAGAAAGAAGUGUGCGUUUAAACAGCAUGGGACAGACAAAAAAGUUGGUAUCACCUUUGCCACAGACCAAAUGCAAGUGGGCUUUUUUGUGGGUACCAGGGGGUGAAGCUUGCGAGGCACAUCAAAAGGCAACAUUCCAAGGAAUCUGAAGUGGCCUGCCAGCUUGCAGGAACGAG